GAGAGUUUGAUCCUGGCUCAGGACGAACGCUGGCGGCGUGCCUAAUACAUGCAAGUCGUACGCUUCUUUUUCCACCGGAGCUUGCUCCACCGGAAAAAGAAGAGUGGCGAACGGGUGAGUAACACGUGGGUAACCUGCCCAUCAGAAGGGGAUAACACUUGGAAACAGGUGCUAAUACCGUAUAACAAUCGAAACCGCAUGGUUUUGAUUUGAAAGGCGCUUUCGGGUGUCGCUGAUGGAUGGACCCGCGGUGCAUUAGCUAGUUGGUGAGGUAACGGCUCACCAAGGCCACGAUGCAUAGCCGACCUGAGAGGGUGAUCGGCCACAUUGGGACUGAGACACGGCCCAAACUCCUACGGGAGGCAGCAGUAGGGAAUCUUCGGCAAUGGACGAAAGUCUGACCGAGCAACGCCGCGUGAGUGAAGAAGGUUUUCGGAUCGUAAAACUCUGUUGUUAGAGAAGAACAAGGAUGAGAGUAACUGUUCAUCCCUUGACGGUAUCUAACCAGAAAGCCACGGCUAACUACGUGCCAGCAGCCGCGGUAAUACGUAGGUGGCAAGCGUUGUCCGGAUUUAUUGGGCGUAAAGCGAGCGCAGGCGGUUUCUUAAGUCUGAUGUGAAAGCCCCCGGCUCAACCGGGGAGGGUCAUUGGAAACUGGGAGACUUGAGUGCAGAAGAGGAGAGUGGAAUUCCAUGUGUAGCGGUGAAAUGCGUAGAUAUAUGGAGGAACACCAGUGGCGAAGGCGGCUCUCUGGUCUGUAACUGACGCUGAGGCUCGAAAGCGUGGGGAGCAAACAGGAUUAGAUACCCUGGUAGUCCACGCCGUAAACGAUGAGUGCUAAGUGUUGGAGGGUUUCCGCCCUUCAGUGCUGCAGCUAACGCAUUAAGCACUCCGCCUGGGGAGUACGACCGCAAGGUUGAAACUCAAAGGAAUUGACGGGGGCCCGCACAAGCGGUGGAGCAUGUGGUUUAAUUCGAAGC
rnacentral:rRNA from 1 species